rfam:Myotis davidii contig9144, whole genome shotgun sequence.
GAGACACCCUUCUGGGGCAAGACUUGCUUCAGUGGGGCUUUGGUGCUCACUGCGUCUGCCCCCUGAGUGUGUCCCU